CCUGAAGAAACUACAGGCAGAACACACUGCCAGUCUUACUCUCCUUUCCUGUGGGGAUGGGGAUGGGGGGGGGGUGUAACUGACCACAGUAGGGCUAUUUGCUGGGAAAAUGUUUUUUUUUUUUCCAUAUUUAUUAAUUUGGCUGCGCUGGGUCUUAUUUGUGGCAUGUGGAAUCUAUUUUCCGAGCCAAGGAUCGAACAUGGGCCCCCUGCAUUGGAAGCAUGGAGUCUCAGCCACUGGACCACCGGGGAAGUCCCUGCUGAAAUGUUUAAACUUGAAUGCAGAGAAGGCCCCUUGAGACAAUGUCACCCCCAUCAACAGGAAGACCCAAAUGGAAGAGAAGCCACCAGCAGCCAGCCUUUCUGCUAGAAAGGCUUUCUAGCAGACACACAGAGGGGAGAGAGAGCCACAGCCUGAGGGUGUAGCCCUCUCCAGCAAGAGGAAUACAAGGGCUUCAUGCUCCAGCUGGGGCACCUGACUUGGGAGCUUCCUGGACAUCCAGGCUCAUCGGCAUAUGCGCAGAAAGAAGCAAAUGGCCCCGGAUUCAUGGACAGUUCAUUGACAAGACCCAUCGGACCUCUUUCUUCCACACAAUGUGCAGAGUGUGCUCAGUGGAAGAGUGCAGAAAGUGAACGUGGAAAGUUCCAACCACAUUCCUACAGAGUUGGGACUCCUCGGGAAUCCCAAUGUGCCCUCGCUCUGCACAAAGGCACAGAAUUCUGACAUCAGGCUACCGCCAACUUCUGCCCCUGACUCAACAUUUCCCAUGCCCCACAUGCUGCCGUUGCCAAUAUGCGCCUCCUUUAGGAGUUUACCAAGGCACCUGAGGCCUAUCGGCUGGCCAGUACUAGAUUUUUCCAUCACAGGUCCUGAAGGAAACAGUGAUUAUACAGAUCUACAAGGAGACUUGCUUACAGAUGGACAGCCUAAUACAGCUGCAGGAAAAUUAGGUAACUUGCAAGCUCGUAACAUGAGUGGCUGGGGAAAACUUCCCCUUUCCCUUAUCCACAAAACACCAAGGCAGCCAAGGGCCGUCAGCUGUCCUAACACCGCACGCAGUCCCUCAGAGCCUUACUGUCUCGUUUCACGUGGAAAAUAACAGAAAUACCCUCAAUGGUGAAGAAAGGUCACAAAAAUGGCCAAGAUCAACAUUUGAACCAAUCCCCGGCAACGAUAUAUCCACCCCAAACACCCUACAAUAGAAAGCAGAAUCAGCUCCAUGGUGGCCGCCAGUCACCAGACUGUCUGGCACCCCCACCCACCCAGCCAAAAGCACCCGCCCUUCCCUCUCUUUAAGCCGCAAACACUACAAAGCAUUAAGACUAUAACUGGGAAGGAGGCUCCGAGACCCACAUUUAAACCAAGAAAAUCUUCUUCAAGUUUCAGCAUGCCGUUACAAUAAUGCCCAACACCAAACCCGGAAGUGCCUGAGAGAUCUUCUCCGCCAUCCACCCAGGAGCCCGCAGACACGUCUGUCAAAGUGUCCGUCAGGACACACCAUUUACCCGACUCUCCACUCACACCGCAGACAGCCAAAUACGAAUAAAGUUAGUAAAACUUACA
ensembl:lncRNA